rnacentral:lncRNA from 1 species
UGGGCGAUUUGAAGGAAGGUUUAGAGGUGGUUCCGGAAAUAGCUGAUCGUGGUUGUUUGGGCUGCUUCUCAGUUGGGAUUUUUUGUGCUUUUUUUGGGGUAGUUAGGAUGGCAGCUCAUAGAAGAUGAUGGGCGUGGCUGAAGUUUUUAGAAUGGAGUCCGUGAGAGCUGCUGGUUCUCUUUUUAGUUGAAGAAAGGUAGAAACAGCUGUACAUGGGGGGGUUCUCUAGGGUUCGUAUAAAAUGGGGAGAUGAAGGGGUCUUUAGGUUAGCGGGUAUGGGCUUAGGUAUUAUGGGCUAGGUCCGAAUUGUGUCCUAAAAUUGGGCUCUAAGACUCUUAAGAUUGUGGUCCAAAACCUUAGUUAACUCCCUUUAAGAUAAGAUAAAAAUACUACACAAUGCAAAAACUAAUUCUAAUUAAUUAAAUUAAACUAUCUUAAAAUAUUAAACUAUUUUUUUUAUUUUCAAGAUUAUAUUAAGAUAAAAAUAAGGUACUUUUUUGUAUUUUUAAUUUUAUGAAAGGUACAUAAACCCAAAGUAACUAGAUAAAAUAUCAAUUAGCUAAAUAGAAGAAAAUAUUUUUGUAAUUUUGUAUUGUUGUUAUAAAAUAAAGUAAAAUAGUUAAAACUAGUUGAAAUAACGAUAUUAGGCCUAAACAAAAUAUUUCAAAGCUAAUAUAUGUAAAAUCUUAGGGAGGGUCAAAAAUCACAUGUCUACAGCUGCCCCUCUUUGACUGGAAACACGAAGUGUUUUCAAACAAAGAACGACGAGACAUGUUUUUUGACGAGACAUGUUUUUAGAGAGACCAAAAGCUAAAAGAAAGGAGAAUGUGACCGAGUCCUGGUAUCUGAGCUGCCUACAUAUCCUUGGAUAUAAAGGAAUCAGGUUAUGUGUAGUUCAAAAGUAGGAACAGUGGUAGGGUGUACCGAGGUGGAGAGCCGAUUGAGGUGUCGUCGAGGUUCCAGUCCGCGAUUCCUGCCAUUACUUCAAAAAUAAAAGGAAAAAUUACAGUAAAAAUAAAAGAAAAAAUACAAAAUCCUAUCUACUUUUUGUCAUGCUCUUUCUUGAAUCUCCAUUUGCUCUUUCAAAAAAUUCACCCCGUUCUUCAGGUGGGCCUCCUACUAACUUGAAUUUGAAGAAAACUGGAAGUUGACCCUGGUCUUCAGCCGGGCAUCCUGCUGUUUUCCCUUGAAAUAAACUUGAACUUUGAGUAGACUUGAGUUUGAAAACCUUGUUCCUCAGACGGAUCGUGCUACUUCUUAUUUGAAUUAAAAAUUGCCCCUAUUCUCCAGGCGAGAUCCUGUUGUCUUUUACUUGAAUCUUGAAUACUGGAAGUUAACCCUGCUCUUCAGGGGGGAUCCUCCUGCUUGAUUUUGACUUGAACUUGAAAACUGAAAGUUGACUCUACUCUUCAGGAGGGCUCCUGAUGCCUCUCACUUGAUCUUGAAAACUGAAAGUUAAUCCCGUUCUUCAGGCGGGAUUCUCCUUAUGCCUCUUGAACUUGAAAUUGAAACCCCAACACUGACCCUGUUCUUCAAGUGUGCUCCUGAUGCCUCUGACUUGAACUUGUAAACUAAAAGUUGACCCUAUUCUUCAGGCGGGAUUCUCCUAAUGCUUCUCUAACUUGAAAUUGAAAACUUAACAUGUUCUUCAUGUGGGCUCCUGAUGCCUCCUUGACUUUAACAUGUAAACUAAAACGUGUCCCUGUUCUUCAGGCGGGCUCCUAACGCUUCUCUAACUUGCACUUGAAACCAAUUUCUGAAAUAUUGACCCUCGUUCUUCAGGUGGGAUCCUCCUGCUUGAUCUCGAACGAAAUUGAAAGUUGACCCCGUUCUUCAGGCGGGUUCUUGGUGCUUCUUUGACUUGGACCUAAAACCGAUUUCUGAAAUGUUUCCCUCGUUCUCCAGGUGGGUGCAUGCAAUUAAAAAUAACAAAACAAAUAAAAUUUUCUACCCUAGUUUUCACUAGGAAGGUUUGUGAGUUGUUAACGAUAAUGUAAAUUACUUAUGCUAUUGAUGAAAGAUGCAAGGAUGAGGGUAAAACUAAAAAUUCAACUAAGAUGUGCGUCUCCUAUGAGAGCGUUCUUAAGGAAAACUAUAAGCUAAGCUUGACUAAAUUAAAAAUUACCCCUAUUCUUCAGGCAGGACCCUAAACUCAAGAAAACUAAGGAUUGAAAACCUAAGAAAACUAACAGCUGACCCUAUUCUCUAGGUGGGACCCCUGAACUUUAAGAGAAACUAAAUAUUGAAAUCUUAAGGAAACUAACAAUUGAUCCUAUUCUCCAGGCGGGACCCCUAAACUAAAUCCUAAGCACUUAAGAAAAUUAAAAAUGGCCCUAUUCUCCGGGUAGGGCUCCUGAACUUAAGGAAAGCUAAAGAUUAACAACUUAAGAAAACUAAAAUUGACCUUAUUCUCCAGGCGAGACCCCUGAACUCAAGGAAAACUAAGACUAACAACUUAAAGGAACAAUAAAUGACCCUAUUCUCUAGGAGGGAUCCCUGAACUCAAGGAAAACUAAAGACUAACCACUUAAGGAAAGUAAAACUAACCCUAUUCUGCAGGCGGGACCUCUGAACUUAAGAAAAACUAAAAACUCUUCUGACUAGGGAGAAUGCCUAGGAGAUAAUGGUCAUCUCAACUAGGUGAACGCCUAGCAAGUAAAAACCUUCUCAAACAACCUUUGUGCUGCCCAAAUUUGGGCAUUGCACUUGAAAAAUUCAAGCAUCCAAGCAUUGAUUUGGACACAGUUUUCAUCUCUGUUUGAAGCAAAGAAAACUUGUGAGUUUAAACAUAGUGGUUGGUUUGAGGCCUUGACUUUGAGAGCGAUUGCCCCUUCACUUGCCAUGAUAACUUUGAUUUUAACUUGAAAGACCUUGCUUGUUUAUUGACUAACCACUUUUCCUGUCACCCUUAUCACAGAACAUACCUCUGAUCUGUUCAAACCCAAUACCCUCUAUCUGUUGUAUUGUGCUCAUAAAUUGACAUAUACCAAACCUUUGUAUUUCACAUAAAUCUCAAAGCUGGUAGAAGAUUUUAAAGUCAUUCUUACUUGUUCCGGCAAAAUAGACUCGAGAGGACUUAGACAAAGCAAGAAGAACAAAGUUAAGAGGACAACGAAAAGAGAUGAUAUCUAACAAGAAAAUCACCAAGUAGAAACUUAUCAAAUGUGGAUACCAACUCUAAUGACUGUGACAUGCAUUCUGGAUUAAGUGGCCUAAUCUGUCACGCAAGUCUAAUGUUCAACUCUUGUAGUAUCUCUAAGCCGUGAAACUAGGUUUCGAUGCUCUGAUUAUCCUAUCUGAAUCAUGGUCCUUAUUUGACUUGUAAUGCCCGAAGGGUUUUCACCAUCAAGCCUCUCUCAUUUCUUUCUAUCAACUCAAUGUCGCCUUAUGGUGUCUGUGAAGGUUUUCACCAAUAAGACUCUCUCGUUUUGUUCUGUUGUUCUUAUUUCUUCUAAUUCUGCAGAUGACAAGGCAUUAACCAUAGUAAAAACAUCAUAUGCUCCUGGCAUGUCUAGCUUGGCACUCUCAAAGAUUAUCUGGGAGGUAUUUUUUAGACUGUAAUGUGGCUUUUGGACAGGGUUAGAAAGAAAGGAUAUCAUAAAGGCAAAAAUAACUAAGACAACAUGGUUAAUUUAUUUACAACUUUUGGAAUCCAUUAUAAAAACUUUGCCCCAAUUUCUAAUACAAGGGAAUUUGAUUCUUUUUUUUUUCUUUUUUCUUUUUGAGAUGGAUUUUCUAAGAAAGANNNNNNNNNNNNNNNNNNNNNNUGUUUUUGAAAUAUUUUUUUAAUGAAGUUUCUAAAACAAACCUUAUAGGGCAUGAAUUUUUUUCUUUUUUUUCCCUUUUUUUAUGUGAUGACUCUAACUCGAUUCCAAAAGAGGGAGGUCAAGAAAAUUAGCAUAGGUUCAAAAGGGGUACCAAAUGGUAUAAAGUGUUUAGGUAGCUGAAAGAGGGCCUCCCAAUCCAUGAAAAUGCCAAGUACAACAUUUCUUUUGAAGCUUUGGCAUUGAUGUCACUGAUAGGCCUUCUACUUUUUUUAGUGACUUGUCAAGUACAGAACUCUUGUUGGGUGAUUUCAUCACAAUGUAUACCCUCCGUCUGUUUGGAGCAAAAUCCCUUGGCUUUAUCUUGUUACUUGAUAUGUACUUGAACUCAAAGUUGCUCACUUCAAAUUAUCCGGGAUGCACUGUCCUUUAACGAAUUCUUGUAAUCCUAUUAACUUCCCAAAUUAUCUGCCCUAUUUUUACACACUUCUGGCUUUAAAUGAUCUCAAAAUGUCCAAAUAUGUACGUAUUUCCCUCAAAUGUCCCUAUCAUCUUCAAAAUUAUUUCAUUGUUUCAUGAUUAAACUAACUUUUAAGACCAGGCCUAGAAUUAUGCAUACAUGUCAUGUCACUAGAGCCAACAUGAAAAGAACUAUAAAAGGAGAAGAGAACUAAACAAAAAAUGACUAGAAAUAAUAUAAAACAGAAAAUUGCAUUAGAGAGAUGGUGAGAAGGGUUUGAACAACAAGACAAGCAAAAUAAACUAGGGUUACAACCCUGGAACAGACCUAGAGAACACUAAACGAGUUACUACGACUAAACAAACUAGCAAAACAAAAGGAUAGAAGGGUUUGAUUCCCAAGACAAUAUCUGGAUUACAACCCUAAAAUAACCCGGACAACAGAAAUAACAACAAAAUAAACCACCAGGACUCCCCCUGGCUAGCCAAGAAAGGAACAUCUUUCCAAUUACCAAGCUUGACAUCUUAGCCACUGAGCUCCACAUCAAUAUUACCAAGACCUUCACAAGUCUUCAUCACAUUGACCUUAGCAAAUUGCUUUUGGAUCCCUUUUACCGGCUCGUUCUUUAGAUCAACUGCCAGAACCGAGAGUGCUAAAAGCUUUGCGGCAAGUGGCCCUCUGAGGAUCUCAGAAGAGUUCUCAUAUUCCUUUUCAACACAAAUCAUACCCACCAUAUACGUCUCAUUAUGAACAGGCGAUGGACUUUGGCUAGUGUCUAGUGCAUCUGGAUUUUGCACAACAAUGUCACCUACCUCAAUAAGCUUAUGAACUGCUCUUUUCAGAUGCCAACACUUUUCUAUGCUGUGAGCCGGGGCAUUAGAGCAAUAUGCGCACCUUUGAGAAUAAUCAAAAUUCUAUGGAAGGAGGUUCGAAAUUUUUAUCUGAAUUGGCUUCAACAUGUCUAAUUGCCUCAACCUUUGGAACAAACUAGCAUAUGAUUCUCCAAUAGGAGUGAAAGUCUUUUCUUUUUCCUGUUGCCUUUUCAUUUUGUACUCUAACCUCAGCUGGAACCUUUUGCGGGUAGGUGGUUGCUAUGCUUGAGGAGGUGGGUAAGACAUUUGCGGAAGUGGUGCAGACCAUCGCGGGUCCUGUAGAUGUGGAGCAUAUGGUUGUGCAUUAUGGAUGGAGUACUGGGAAGGUGAGGUAUGACUUUGGGGAUUUUAUGGAGAGAAGUAGCAUUGGGGAGGAUUAUCUGGAGCACAAGGAUAUCCAUGGGGUCGAUAUUGAGGCUGAAAGCGUUGAGCAGGAAUGCCCACUGGAUCAUGUCGUUGGCGGGGCUCAACAACAUCUUUUCUAUUUCUUUUCUUUCCACCCAAACUUACUGAGAUGUUCUGAAUGUCUUCUGUAGUAUCUUUCAAAGCAGAAUAGCUCCUGAUUUUGCGUGACUUGAUUCCCUCUUCUACCAUCUCCCCUAUUUUUACCACAUCAUUGAAAGGUUUACCCAAGGCUAGGAUCAAAUAACUGAAGUAGGUGGGGCCAUGUGCCUAUAGAAAAAGCUCAACCAUUUCUUCUUCACCAAUCGGGGGACUGACCCGAGCAGCUUGUUCCCUCCAUAUGAGCCCAAACUUCCUAAAACUUUCUUCGAGUUUCUUUUCCAUCUUAGAUAGGGAGGAGCGGUCUGGGAUAAUAUCUAGAUUGUACUGAAAGUGUCGAACAAAAUCUUGAGUCAUGUCAUCCCAUGCAUGCCACUUACUAACAUCUUGACGGGUAUACCAUUCCAAGGCUGCCCCAGUCAAGCUCUCACUGUAAUUUUCCACUUACGCAAAAACAAAGCUAGUAAAUUUAAUCCUAUUCUCGCCAGCUCGUAUUGAAAUGCUAAUUACCAGAAAAAGACAACCCAAUUUGGCCAAGUUAUGAUAAAAUAGUCAACAAUUAAUAAUGGUAUAAAUUCAAACUCAAGAUAACAAUGGUAGCAAUUUUAUGUAUAACAGAAUUUUUUAUCAAACACAACAACCAAACCAUCACUUAUCAUGCUCUAAACAGUUUUCUGUCAAGAAAUAGAAAAGGUUUUGCUGGUAACCUUGUAAGAAACAUACUGGCAGCAAAUUAUAAUUUUAAAAUAAAUAAACCAACAAAUACAAAGGACCUUUGAUGGAACAUAUUGUCCAUAUACGAUUUAUCAGUUCAUUUGUUACGGUCUACCAUAUAAUAAGAUGUAAAAAUCAUUUUAGAGCAGCAUUAGCCAGUUAAUUAGCUUUUUCUUCAAUUAGUAUACACUCUGGAUGCAUACGCAUCAUGCAUACACAUCACACAAUAGAGAACACAUCAGUACACAACACCGAUAUUUAAUCUUAAUAUAGAAAGAGAUGAAAAUUGACCUCAAAUAUUUCCUCUACAAGUCCAUAAGACAAAUAUGUCAAGCCCCUAACCGAAACUCGACACAGCGAUUUGAGCUGCUGUUUUCACGUUGUUUAGAGAUGGUUUUACAUCUUUCUCGAGGCUGUGUUGUUGCGUUUUUUAGCUGGAAAUUCUAGAUAAUUUUUUUUGGUGAUGUUUGGGCGAUUUGAAGGAAGGUUUAGAGGUGGUUCCGGAAAUAGCUGAUCGUGGUUGUUUGGGCUGCUUCUCAGUUGGGAUUUUUUGUGCUUUUUUUGGGGUAGUUAGGAUGGCAGCUCAUAGAAGAUGAUGGGCGUGGCUGAAGUUUUUAGAAUGGAGUCCGUGAGAGCUGCUGGUUCUCUUUUUAGUUGAAGAAAGGUAGAAACAGCUGUACAUGGGGGGGUUCUCUAGGGUUCGUAUAAAAUGGGGAGAUGAAGGGGUCUUUAGGUUAGCGGGUAUGGGCUUAGGUAUUAUGGGCUAGGUCCGAAUUGUGUCCUAAAAUUGGGCUCUAAGACUCUUAAGAUUGUGGUCCAAAAC